UAAAUGUCACUUGAAAAAACAGUGGAACUCUAUUUGUAUUCAAAGAAUAGGUAACAGCACGUUUAUAGCAUUCCUUUGCUGACCAUCACUAUGAUAUCAAAGGUUGUAUCGUUAUUUGCCUGCCUUGUUAUGGUGUCCAUGGCAUGGCAAAAUGACUAUGAUAGAAAUCUAGAGUUUGUCUGCCCGACGGGUCAGUCUAUAAGCCGUGUACAGAGUGUUCAUAGUAACAGACACGAAGACAGGGUAUGGCAAUUCAGCUGUAGCUACAAAGGACAACUUGGA